GAUGAACGCUGGCGGCGUGCUUAACACAUGCAAGUCGAACGGAAAGGCUCCUGCUUGCAGGGGUACUCGAGUGGCGAACGGGUGAGUAACACGUGGGUGAUCUGCCCUGCACUUCGGGAUAAGCCUGGGAAACUGGGUCUAAUACCGGAUAGGACGAUGGUUUGGAUGCCAUUGUGGAAAGUUUUUUCGGUGUGGGAUGAGCUCGCGGCCUAUCAGCUUGUUGGUGGGGUAAUGGCCUACCAAGGCGUCGACGGGUAGCCGGCCUGUGAGGGUGUACGGCCACAGUGGGACUGGGAUACGGCCCAGACGCCUACGGGAGGAAGCAGUGGGGAAUAUUGCACAAUGGGCGCAAGCCUGAUGCAGCGACGCCGCGUGGGGGAUGACGGCCUUCGGGUUGUAAACUCCUUUCGCUAGGGACGAAGCGCAAGUGACGGUACCUGGAGAAGAAGCACCGGCUAACUACGU
rnacentral:rRNA from 1 species